rnacentral:tRNA from 1 species
GCGUGGUCGGUGUUGGGAGGGUUCUCAUAAUCCCUGGGUCGCGGGUUCGAGUCCCGCCCGCCGCG